UACGUAGGGGGCAAGCGUUGUCCGGAAUCAUCGGGCGUAAAGCGCGUGUAGGCGGCCCGGUAAGUCCGCUGUGAAAGUCGGGGGCUCAACCCUCGAAUGCCGGUGGAUACUGUCGGGCUAGAGUGCGGAAGAGGCGAGUGGAAUUCCUGGUGUAGCGGUGAAAUGCGCAGAUAUCAGGAGGAACACCAAUUGCGAAGGCAGCUCGCUGGGACGUUACUGACGCUGAGACGCGAAAGCGUGGGGAGCAAACAGG
rnacentral:rRNA from 1 species